UACGGGGGGGGCAAGCGUUGUUCGGAAUUAUUGGGCGUAAAGCGUGCGCAGGCGGCUUUGCAAGACAGAUGUGAAAUCCCCGGGCUUAACCGGGGAACUGCGUCUGAUACUGGAUGGCUUGAGUUCGGGAGAGGGAAGCGGAAUUCCGGGUGUAGCGGUGAAAUGCGUAGAUAUCCGGAGGAACACCGGUGGCGAAGGCGGCUUCCUGGACCGACACUGACGCUGAGGCGCGAAAGCUAGGGGAGCAAACGGG
rnacentral:rRNA from 1 species